rnacentral:rRNA from 1 species
GAUGAACGCUGGCGGCGUGCCUAAUACAUGCAAGUCGAACGCAUUGAGAGAAGUGCUUGCACUUUUCAAUUUGAGUGGCGAACGGGUGAGUAACACGUGGGCAACCUACCUGAUAGCGGGGGAUAACGAGUGGAAACAUUCGCUAAUACCGCAUAACAAUAGAGAAGGCAUCUUCUUUAUUUAAAAGGCGCUUUCAAGCGUCACUAUCAGAUGGGCCCGCGGUGCAUUAGUUAGUUGGUGGGGUGAAGGCCUACCAAGACGAUGAUGCAUAGCCGAGUAGAGAGACUUAUCGGCCACAUUGGGACUGAGACACGGCCCAAACUCCUACGGGAGGCUGCAGUAGGGAAUCUUCCACAAUGGACGAAAGUCUGAUGGAGCAACGCCGCGUGUGUGAUGAAGGCUUUCGGGUCGUAAAGCACUGUUGUAUGGGAAGAAAUGCUAGGCUAGGAAAUGAGCUUAGUUUGACGGUACCAUACCAGAAAGGGACGGCUAAAUACGUGCCAGCCGCCGCAGUAA